CAUGAAGCAAAAUAACCCAAUUUAAAAAUGGGCAAAUUUAGUGAUUUUUCUUUACUUGAAUUAUUAUUCUUGACUGAAGAAAAUACAGAGAUGGCAAAUAAAUAGAUGGAAAGUUGCUGACUAUCAGGGGAAUACAGAUUAAACCCACAAGAUACCACCGCACAGUCACUGCACUGACCAUACCAAGUUUUGGCAAGGAUGUGUCAUAAUGGGAACUUUCCUACAAAACCGACGGCGAUGGAGAAUGCUAUUAAAGUGUGUCCCCCUAAAAUAUAUGUUGAAGUCCUAGCUCCCAGUAGCUCAAAAUGUGACCGUAUUUGGAAAUGGAGUUGUCGAAGCUGUAAUUAGUUAAGUUGAGGUCACACUGGAGUAGGGUGGACCUUAAUUCAAUAUAAGUGGUGCCUUACAAAUUGGAGAAGACACUGAGACACAGGCGCUUGGGAAAGCACCAUGGGACAAUGCUGUGAUACAUCUACAAGCCAAGGAAAACCGAGGAUUGCCCGGACUCACCAGGAGCUGGAGGAGGCAAGGGAGCAUUCUUCCCCAGAGCCUUUGGAGAGCUUGACCCUGCUGCGGCCUGCUGCUGCACUUCUCGCUCAGAACUGGGAGAGAAUCGAUGUCUGUUGUUUCAGACCACCCCGUUUGUGGGUGUUUGCUACAAAAGCUCUAGGAAACUAAUCAUCCACUCUCCAUCUCUUUUUUUCCCUCGUUCUGCCUUGUGGAGACACAUGGAAAAAGUCCUGGUCCCUUCUGCAGAUAUUUCCAGAUGUUUUGAGAACACAUUUUUUUUUCCAGGAAAAUAUCUCCUUCCCUGGUUUUUUACCUGAUACAUUUUCAAAUCCUUUCAAUAUUCUUUUGUAGCGCCAAGAUUUUCAAAGAUGCUCUAAAGUGUGAUAACCAGAACUGAUCUAUUUGAAACAGUUUGAUCUACAAAAAAUAAUGGAAUUUGCUGUCUGGUUCAGGUCAGGGAUUUUCAAGCUGUUACUCAGAGCUUUAGGAGUUCCUUGGAGGUAUGCCAGGGGCACACUUGACUGUAUUUCAUGUAAAUAAAAUACCCUUUCUGACA